CCAGCGUGCCUCGCGUUUGCGAGCGGACCCGUGCGGGUUGCUCGGUGCUGCUGACGGAUCUCGGGGACCGCAGCGCCCGGACGCCGGACACAUUCUAUGGUCCGAGGACAAGGUUUUGGGGACAAACAUGCAUUUUUGCACACUGGACUUUUUCUUACCGUCUUCCAAGUAUUAGUGGUUUUCUGCAAGACGCACCUUCCCGAAAUAGUGCGGUGCUUUAGAGUGACGUUCCUCCCGUGCCAAGCGAUGUAUUAAACUUGGACCUUCUAAGCUACCCCGUCCUCGAUCGCGCCAAGCUCUUCAUAGGCUCGUUAUAGCGUGGGCUGCAGACAAACAGCUUCCUAAGUCCUUUGAGGAAAACUGGCCCGCGCAGACUCCCCAGAUGUCAAUUCAAAGAAUGUCGACGACCUUUUAGCUCCUCUCUUUGGAAAACCUUGCAAUAGAAGGAGGAUGGACCCCACCCAGAAACUGGUUCUGAUGUUGAGACGGAUGAGGCCACCAUCACACCAGGCUUGCGGGAUCUUAGUUCCCCGACUAUCUGGGAUCGAACCCGUGACGCCUGCAGUGGAAUCUUGGAGUCCUAACCACUGGACCGCCAGGGAAGUCCCUUGCAUGUCUUUCUUGUUUAAACCUAGCAAACUCCACUUAAUUUUAGGAUAACUUGUCAUAUUAAGCAAAAUUAAAUUCUAGCAUAAAAGUAAAUAUAGCAGAGAAAAGUCAGACUAUUUUAGGUUUGAAAGGGUGGGUAAUUACAGUGGACAUAAGAAGCUAAUUUAAUUUUUCUAACUAUUCCUUUAAAGAAAUGUGGAAAAAAGAAGAAAGGGGAAAUAAAGCAAAACAAGGUCUUGUCACCCCAAAUUCUAACCUUAACGCUCUGUCUUCUCCAGUGUCUUUUUAGUUACUUAGCUUGGCAACCACACCCGAGGGCACGCACUGGACCCGCUUCUCUCCCAAACUCAGUAAUUCAAACACCCUCUCCCAACCACGACCACUAUGACCAUUUUCAGUCUCAGUGUGAUCGGUGGGAGAAACCACUGAUUUCUCCGUUUCCUCGUUUCUUUUUGCUCCUCUCCUGCCCGGUGUAGAUUCCAUGUUACAUUAUUUCAUUUGCUCUUUCUUGAUCAUGUGGGCCACUCCCUUUUCUCUCGGCCUCUCCUAGCUCCUGUCUCCUAAAAUCCUCACCCAGAAUAAACUUUGUAAUUACCAUCCCUGGUAGUUACAUUCUGGGUUGGUGCUUUCUUUCCUGCAACAUUUAAAAUAUUUCAUUCCACUGUUUUCGUGCUUGCAUGGUUUCUGGUGAGAAAUCUGAUAUAAUUCAUAUCCUUAUUUUGCUAUGAAUCAAGUGUUCUUUUUCUCUGGCUUCUUUCAAGAUAUUUUCUUUGUCUUUGAUCUUCUGCAGUUUGAAUAUGAUAUGCUGAGGUGUUUUGGUAUUUAUCCUGCCUCUUGUUGUCUGCGAUUCCGGGAUCUGUGGUUUGGUGUAUGUCAUUGAUUUUGGAAAAUUGUCAGCAGUUAUUACUUCGAAUAUUUCUUCUGUUCCUUUUUCUCUUUCUUUUCUUCCUGGCAGUUCCAUUACACUAUGUUAUACCUUUUGUAGUGGUCUCAUAUUUUGUGGAUAUUCUAUUUCAU